rnacentral:rRNA from 1 species
ACUCAAAGGAAUUGACGGGGGCCCGCACAAGCGGUGGAGCAUGUGGUUUAAUUCGAUGCAACGCGAAAAACCUUACCUGCCCUUGACAUCCUCGGAACCUCCCAGAGACGGGAGGGUGCCUUCGGGAGCCGGGAGACAGGUGCUGCAUGGCUGUCGUCAGCUCGUGUCGUGAGAUGUUGGGUUAAGUCCCGUAACGAGCGCAACCCUUGUCCCUAGUUGCCAGCGGUUCGGCCGGGAACUCUAGGGAGACUGCCGGUGACAAACCGGAGGAAGGUGGGGAUGACGUCAAGUCAUCAUGGCCCUCAUGGGCAGGGCUACACACGUGCUACAAUGGCCGGCACAGAGGGUUGCCAACCCGCGAGGGGGAGCCAAUCCCACAAAACCGGUCGUAGUCCGGAUCGGAGUCUGCAACUCGACUCCGUGAAGUCGGAAUCGCUAGUAAUCGCGGAUCAGCACGCCGCGGUGAAUACGUUCCCGGGCCUUGUACACACCGCCCGU